ensembl:lncRNA
CUAAGUGAUGCAGCAGCAGGCUGGUGUAGCUCCGGGCUCCAGGAGGGGGACAGGGAGUGCACGGCUGCCACACGCCCGCUUCUCUCCACCGCAGCUCGUGCAGCCGUGCCAGUGUCAGGCGGCGCAAGAAUCAAACUUUUCUGUACAUUUUCACGUCACCUGGACGCGAAACAUAAAUCUGGCAUCCUAUGCAAAUAUAUGCUGACGUAAAAGAUCAUGUGGUUUUUGUCGUCGAUCCCCCCUAUGAGCAACGAGGAGGCUUUUUUUUCUCCUCUCUACUGUUGUCUUUAGGUUAGCUAUGCUACAAUCUUUACUGUACCCAGCGCUAGCUAUAUGCGCCCCGCACCGCACCACUCUGGAUAUCUGGGAAUAAUCAACUUCCAGCCUGUCGCACCCUGCAACCGGAGACCGCACACAGAUCCUGUGGGAGAUUACCCAGAGUGCCGCCGGCCCGAGGAUCAUCCAGAGAAGGAGGGAGGUAGAGGAGGACGGACAGCGUUUAGGAGGAGGAGGAGGAGCCUCGAGCGAGAAGACUCAGCCCCCUGCAGUGAAGCCCCUCCCCCUCAGAGGAAGUAAAGACUCGGCGGACUCGAGGAAGAAUUUGUGGGUUUUUUUACACUCCCACAUGCAGUAAACAGCAGUCGGUCUCAUUGCAUAAGACCUUCGAAAGUUCAUCUGGUUUCG